UACGGGGGGGACCAGUGUUAGUCGUAUUGAUUGGGCGUAAAGGGUGCGUAGGCGGUUUUUUAGAACUUAUAGUAAAUCCCACUACGAUUGUGGUAACUAUUUGUUAUCGUAAAACUGGAGUAAAAAAGAGGUGUGCGGUACUACAAGUUUAGGCCUAAACGUCGACGAGAUUUGAAGGACCCUCAGUGGCGAAGGCGGCUAACCAUUUUUUACUGACGCUGAGGCACGGAGGCGUGGGGAGCAAACGGG
rnacentral:rRNA from 1 species